ACAUUUACCUGGCAAGGGAGAUACCAUAAUCAUGACAGUUUUCCCUAGGCAAGGCUUAUCCAUUGCAUUCUGGAUGUGCUGACCCCUGUGAUUUCCCCAAAUGUGGGAAACCCAGCUGUGUAAUUUGUGGUACUAGGGUAUUUGUGGUUUUUUCUCUG